rnacentral:rRNA from 1 species
AAAUUGAAGAGUUUGAUCAUGGCUCAGAUUGAACGCUGGCGGCAGGCCUAACACAUGCAAGUCGAACGGUAGCAGGAAGAAGCUUGCUUCUUUGCUGACGAGUGGCGGACGGGUGAGUAAUGUCUGGGAAACUGCCUGAUGGAGGGGGAUAACUACUGGAAACGGUAGCUAAUACCGCAUAACGUCGCAAGACCAAAGAGGGGGACCUUCGGGCCUCUUGCCAUCGGAUGUGCCCAGAUGGGAUUAGCUAGUAGGUGGGGUAACGGCUCACCUAGGCGACGAUCCCUAGCUGGUCUGAGAGGAUGACCAGCCACACUGGAACUGAGACACGGUCCAGACUCCUACGGGAGGCAGCAGUGGGGAAUAUUGCACAAUGGGCG